rnacentral:rRNA from 1 species
UACAGAGGUCUCAAGCGUUGUUCGGAUUCAUUGGGCGUAAAGGGUGCGUAGGUGGCGCUGUAAGUCAGGUGUGAAAUCUCGGGGCUCAACCCCGAAACUGCACUUGAUACUGCGGUGCUCGAGUACUGGAGAGGAGAUUGGAAUUUACGGUGUAGCAGUGAAAUGCGUAGAUAUCGUAAGGAAGACCAGUGGCGAAGGCGAAUCUCUGGACAGUUACUGACACUGAGAAGCGAAAGCAUGGGGAGCGAACAGG